CUUGCCCCUAGAGGCCUUGCAGGUGUGGCUGCUGUGUCACACACACAUCACUAGGCAGCAGAGAGGAGAGAGGCUAUGUUUAUGUUCAUUGUUCUGAGCAUAUGAAUAUCUGAAUGAUUAGUAGCCUAACAUU